rnacentral:rRNA from 1 species
UACGAAGGGGGCUAGCGUUGCUCGGAAUUACUGGGCGUAAAGGGUGCGUAGGCGGGUCUUUAAGUCAGAGGUGAAAUCCUGGAGCUCAACUCCUGAACUGCCUUUGAUACUGAGGAUCUUGAGUUCGGGAGAGGUGAGUGGAACUGCGAGUGUAGAGGUGAAAUUCGUAGAUAUUCGCAAGAACACCAGUGGCGAAGGCGGCUCACUGGCCCGAUACUGACGUUGAGGCACGAAAGCGUGGGGAGCAAACAGG